UACGUAGGCAGCGAGCGUUGUUCGGAGUUACUGGCGUAAAGCGUGCGUAGGCGGUUUUGUAAGUUUGGUGUGAAAUCUCCCGGCUCAACUGGGAGGGUGCGCCGAAAACUGCAAGGCUGGAGUAUGGGAGAGGUAGGCGGAAUUCCUGGUGUAGCGGUGAAAUGCGUAGAUAUCGUGAGGAACACCAGAGGCGAAGGCGGUUACCUGGACAGUUACUGACGCUCAGGCACGAAAGCAUGGGGAGCAAAAGGG
rnacentral:rRNA from 1 species